rnacentral:antisense_RNA from 1 species
CUUUAUGGUGGUCAUGCACAGGGCACCUUCGGGUGCGCCGGCUUCCUCAUGUCCCGGUCUACCAACCUGCGCAUGGCCGCCACCUUC